rnacentral:siRNA from 1 species
ACACACCUGUUUGMGACGAUAUGC